AAACCGACAGUCUCUUCCCGGUAGGGAGAGGGGAUGGCGGAAUUACUCCUCUAAUGUCAAGGUUUUCUAAUCACAGAAUUACUGGAGCGUCAAGAAGCGCCUGCAUGCUUGGAAGGGCUUCCAGGCAGAUGAACACACCUCAGCACCGGGUGGCAGUUUCCCAGGGUGCAACCCGGACCGGCUCUGGGUCACACUGACAAGGAUAACAAGGAUUAACAAUUUCCAGAGACAGCCCGUACAUAGAGGGAAAGUUUACUGAAAAAAAUGAAGAGGGGUCAGGGCAAGGCGAGGAGCAAGAAGCAUCCCCAAGGAAACAGAGAAGACCAGUACAACUGUACCUCUUUGCCAGCUGCACCAUCCGUACCAGUCUCCUGGGGUGGGAGUGUACAGCUCAGAGACUGCCACACUGCAAGACGAAGGGGCUGGAUGGACGGAAGUAAGAGGCGGAACCCUGCACACCCUCGGCCUCAGCCCCACUGAGUCUCCAAUGGGGCCACGCUUCUGAGUGCACCUCCCCCUGUCAUCUGUAAUGUGAGGGGGAACCAGGCUUGAUAUGGCAUUCCCAAUCCAGGGC
rnacentral:antisense_RNA from 1 species